GAUGAACGCUGGCGGCGUGCCUAAUACAUGCAAGUCGAGCGAACAGACGAGGAGCUUGCUCCUCUGACGUUAGCGGCGGACGGGUGAGUAACACGUGGAUAACCUACCUAUAAGACUGGGAUAACUUCGGGAAACCGGAGCUAAUACCGGAUAAUAUAUUGAGCUGCAUGGUUCAAUAGUGAAAUACGGUUUUGCUGUCACUUAUAGCUGGAUCCGCGCCGGAUUAGCUAGUUGGUAAGGUAACGGCUUACCAAGGCAACGAUGCGUAGCCGACCUGAGAGGGUGAUCGGCCACACUGGAACUGAGACACGGUCCAGACUCCUACGGGAGGCAGCAGUAGGGAAUCUUCCGCAAUGGGCGAAAGCCUGACGGAGCAACGCCGCGUGAGUGAUGAAGGUCUUCGGAUCGUAAAACUCUGUUAUUAGGGAAGAACAAAUGUGUAAGUAACUAUGCACGUCUUGACGGUACCUAAUCAGAAAGCCACGGCUAACUACGUG
rnacentral:rRNA from 1 species